rnacentral:rRNA from 1 species
UACGGAGGGUGCAAGCGUUACCCGGAUUCACUGGGUUUAAAGGGUGCGUAGGUGGUUUUGUAAGUCAGUGGUGAAAGCCCGGAGCUCAACUCCGGAACUGCCAUUGAUACUGCUUAACUUGAAUCAACUUGAGGUGGAUGGAAUAUUACAUGUAGCGGUGAAAUGCUUAGAUAUGUAAUAGAACACCGAUUGCGAAGGCAGUUCACUAAGGUUGUAUUGACACUGAGGCACGAAAGCGUGGGGAUCAAACAGG